rnacentral:rRNA from 1 species
CUCUUGUAAGGUGAAGCCUGCCCAAUGGCUGCCAAUAACGUACCCAAAAUCAGUUCAAUGGCCGCGGUAACUCUGACCGUGAUAAAGUAGCAUAAUCACUUGUCACUUAAUUGGUGACUGGAAUGAAUGGCUAAACGAAUCCUCCCCUGUCUCUGAGAGAAUUCCGGCAAACUUGAAAUAGUAGUGAAGAUGCUACUAAAUAAUUGUAAGACGAAAAGACCCUAUCGAGCUUUACUGGAAGCUUGUAUACUGAUAUGGCUAUCUGAAACGAAGCCUUUUGAACUGCAAGCCCGACAGUUUGGUUGGGGCGACCACCCCUAAAAAUGUAUCAGGGGAACUCUAAAGGUUAUCCUAAUAUGAAAAGUUGCCUUACUGGAGACAAACAAGUCAAUCAGUUAUAAUAUAUAGGACAUAUUGACCCGUUAUUUUAAUCACAGCAAAUAACGACCAUGAAAAAAGUUACCGUAGGGAUAACAGGG